AACGUUCAUCCUAAAAAGGACGGAAGUAGGCAUAUAUGCCGAAGGAACGCACC
ncrna:unclassified sequences Glutamine riboswitch